rnacentral:rRNA from 1 species
UACAGGGGGGGCACGCGUUGUUCGGAAUUACUGGGCGUAAAGGGCUCGUAGGCGGCCAACUAAGUCCGACGUGAAAUCCCCAAGCUUAACUUGGGAACUGCGUCGGAUACUGGAUGGCUUGAAUUCGGGAGAGGGAUGCAGAAUUCCAGGUGUAGCGGUGAAAUGCGUAGAUAUCUGGAGGAAUACCGGUGGCGAAGGCGGCAUCCUGGACCGACAUCGACGCUGAGGAGCGAAAGCUAGGGGAGCAAACGGG